UACGGGGGGGGCAAGCGUUGUUCGGAAUUACUGGGCGUAAAGGGCUCGUAGGUGGCCAACUAAGUCAGACGUGAAAUCCCUCGGCUUAACCGGGGAACUGCGUCUGAUACUGGAUGGCUUGAGUUCGGGAGAGGGAUGCGGAAUUCCAGGUGUAGCGGUGAAAUGCGUAGAUAUCUGGAGGAACACCUAUGGCGAAGGCAGCUCGCUGGGACGGUAUUGACGCUGAGACGCGAAAGCGUGGGGAGCGAACAGG
rnacentral:rRNA from 1 species